UACGUAGGGAGCAAGCGUUGUUCGGAUUUACUGGGCGUAAAGGGCGCGUAGGCGGCGCGGUAAGUCACUUGUGAAAUCUCUGAGCUUAACUCAGAACGGCCAAGUGAUACUGCAGUGCUAGAGUGCAGAAAGGGCAAUCGGAAUUCUUGGUGUAGCGGUGAAAUGCGUAGAUAUCGAGAGGAACACCUGAGGCGAAGGCGGGUUGCUAGGCUGACACUGACGCUGAGUGCGCGAAAGCCAGGGGAGCAAACGGG
rnacentral:rRNA from 1 species